UGCUAAGUGAAAUAAGUCAGUCAGAGAAAGACAGAUAUCAAUGUUUUCACUCAUAUGUGGAACUUGAGAAACUUAACAGAAGACUUUGGGGGAAGAGUAGGGGGAAAAAAGUUACAGAGAGGGAGGGAGGCAAAUCAUAAGAGACUCUUAAAUACACACUGAG